rnacentral:snRNA from 1 species
AAAAAAAAUGGAACGAUACAGAGAAGAUUAGCAUGGCCCCUGCACAAGGAUGACACGCAAAUUCUUGAAGUGCUCCAUAUUUUA